AGUGUAGUAUAAUGGUUAAGGCGUUGCAUUUGUAAUGCAAAGGUUGUAGGUUCAGUUCCCACCUACAGUA